GCAUUUUAAGCAGCACAUAUACUAAAAUUGGAACGAUACAGAGAAGAUUAGCAUGGCCCUUGCCCAAGGAUGAAA
ensembl:snRNA U6 U6 spliceosomal RNA